CAAUAGCGUAUAUUAAAGUUGUUGCAGUUAAAAAGCUCGUAGUUGGAUUUCUGGUCUAGGUUAUCGGUCGUCGUGCGUAUGCGCGAUUGAACUUGUAUGACUUGGGUCAUUUUUUGUGAGGAUGUGCUUCUGGCAUUAAGUUGUCGGGGGUAUGGACUUGCAUCGUUUACUGUGAAAAAAUUAGAGUGUUUAAAGCAGGCGUUGGCCAUUUUUGAAUACAUUAGCAUGGAAUAAUAAGAUACGACUUUGGUGGUCUAUUUUGUUGGUUUGCAUACCAAAUUAAUGAUCAACAGGAACAGUUUGAGGAUAUUCGUAUGAACAUGUCAGAGGUGAAAUUCUUGGAUUUUGAUCAGACGAACUACUGCGAAAGCGUUUAUCAAGGAUGUUUUCAUUAA
rnacentral:rRNA from 1 species